GGGCACGACACCGGAGAGGGAGCCUGAGAAACGGCUACCACAUCCAAGGAUGGCAGCAGGCGCGCAAAUUACCCAAUCCCGACACGGGGAGGUAGUGACAAUAAAUAACAAUACGGGGUUCUUUAGGAUCUCGUAAUUGGAAUGAGUACAAUUUAAAUCUCUUAACGAGGAACAAUUGGAGGGCAAGUCUGGUGCCAGCAGCCGCGGUAAUUCCAGCUCCAAUAGCGUAUAUUAAAGUUGUUGCAGUUAAAAAGCUCGUAGUUGAAUUUCGGGGUUAGUAGGUUGGUCAUGCCUCUGGUAUGUACUGGUCUCACUGAUUCCUCCUUCCUGAUGAGCCGUAAUGCCAUUAAUUUGGUGUUGCGGGGAAUUUGGACUGUUACUUUGAAAAAAUUAGAGUGUUUAAAGCAAGCUAACGCUUGAAUACAUUAGCAUGGAAUAAUGAAAUAGGACGUUCGAUCCUAUUUUGUUGGUUUCUAGGAUUGACGUAAUGAUUAAUAGGGAUAGUUGGGGGCAUUAGUAUUCAAUUGUCAGAGGUGAAAUUCUUGGAUUUAUUGAAGACUAACUACUGCGAAAGCAUUUGCCAAGGAUGUUUUCAUUAAUCAAGAACGAAAGUUAGGGGAUCGAAGACGAUCAGAUACCGUCGUAGUCUUAA
rnacentral:rRNA from 1 species